rnacentral:rRNA from 1 species
UGGGGAAUCUUGGGCAAUGGGCGAAAGCCUGAUCCAGCAAUGCCGCGUGAGUGAUGAAGGCCUUAGGGUUGUAAAGCUCUUUUGCCCGGGAUGAUGAUGACAGUACCGGGAGAAUAAGCUCCGGCUAACUCCGUGCCAGCAGCCGCGGUAAUACGGAGGGAGCUAGCGUUGUUCGGAAUUACUGGGCGUAAAGCGCGCGUAGGCGGUUUUUUAAGUCAGAGGUGAAAGCCCAGUGCUCAACACUGGAACUGCCUUUGAAACUGGAAAACUUGAAUCUUGGAGAGGUCAGUGGAAUUCCGAGUGUAGAGGUGAAAUUCGUAGAUAUUCGGAAGAACACCAGUGGCGAAGGCGACUGACUGGACAAGUAUUGACGCUGAGGUGCGAAAGCGUGGGGAGCAA